rnacentral:rRNA from 1 species
UAGGGAAUCUUCCACAAUGGACGAAAGUCUGAUGGAGCAACGCCGCGUGAGUAAAGAAGGGUUUCGGCUCGUAAACUCUGUUGUUAAAGAAGAACAUAUCUGAGAGUAACUGUUCAGGUAUUGACGGUAUUUAACCAGAAAGCCACGGCUAACUACGUGCCAG